GGAGCCGCCAGUGGCCAGGGAGGGGGGACACUUGAUUCCCUUGUGGUCCGUUGGCACAGCAUGCUUUUAGAGUGUAAAGGAGGCCAAGGAGUCUCAUAUUCCACUUUCAGCAGCCAGGCAACAGAUAAUUUCUGCUCUCCUUUUUCUCACGAACCGCCAUGCUGAGCUUUGCAACGGCAACCAGCAGCAAUGCUCUGACAGCCACAGCUAACUAGAGGACAGUGCCAGAGGUGGAGCUUGGGCCCAGGCCCCAUAGAGUUACACUGGCUGUACCCCCAUG